CCUACGGGAGGCUGCAGUCGAGAAUCAUUCACAAUGGGGGAAACCCUGAUGGUGCGACGCCGCGUGGGGGAAUGAAGGACUUCGGAUUGUAAACCCCUGUCAUGUGGGAGCAAAUGAAAAAGAUAGUACCACAAGAGGAAGAGACGGCUAACUCGGUGCCAGCAACCGCGGUAAUACAGAGGUCUCAAGCGGUGUUCGGAAUCACUGGGCGUAAAGGGUGCGUAGGCUGUUGCGUAAGUCGUGUGUGAAAGGCGCGGGCUCAACCCGCGGACGGCACAUGAUACUGCGAGACUAGAGUAGUGGAGGGGGAACCGGAAUGCUCGGUGUAGCAGUGAAAUGCGUAGAUAUCGAGAGGAACACUCGUGGCGAAGGCGGGUUCCUGGACAUUAACUGACGCUGAGGCACGAAGGCCAGGGGAGCGAAAGGGAUUAGAUACCCCUGUAGUC
rnacentral:rRNA from 1 species